UAAAAGUUUUAUUUUGGCUUAUUAAUUUAUUAUAAGUUUGUUUAUAUAUGUAAAUUUUUGUGUGAAUUUAUUAUAUUCUAAAAGAAUAUUUUAUUAUUUUUAUUCGCAGUAUAUGAUAUUAAUUAUUAGAUAAAUCUAGAAUUGGUAAUAUUGUUAAGUAUUGGCUAAAUUUGUGCCAGCCGCUGCGGUUAUACAAAGAAUACAAGUAAAUUUUAUUGGUUAUAAGUUAAAUAAAAUAUUUAUUUAAUAGAUAAUAAUUUUUUAGGUGAAAUUUUAAUUUAUUUUAAUUAAUAAUAUAAGAGUUAUUGAAGCUUAAAAAUUUUUGUUAUAAACUAGGAUUAGAUACCCUAUUAUAGAAAUUGUAUAAAUAAAAAUCCAGAGUAGUAUUAGUUAAGGUCUUGAAACUCAAAAAAUUUGGCGGUAUUUUAGUCUAUUUAGAGGAACCUGUAGUAUAAUCGAUAAUCCACGAUGGACCUCACUUAACUUUGUUUUUCAGUUUGUAUACCGCUGUUAUUUGAAGAUUUUAUAAGAAUAAUAAUUUUCAUGGUUUUUUAUUAAAAAAUAUAUCAGGUCAAGGUGCAGCUUAUGGUUAAGAAUUUAUGGGUUACAAUAAAAUUAUUUAUACGGAUGAAAAUAUGAAAUUAUUUUUUGAAGGUGGAUUUAAUAGUAAAUUUUUAAAGAUUAAAGAGUUGAUUUUAGCUCUAAAAUAUGCACACAUCGCCCGUCGCUCUUGUUAUUAAUAUAAGAUAAGUCGUAACAUAGUAGAUGUACUGGAAAGUGCAUCUAGAAUGAC
rnacentral:ncRNA from 1 species